CAAAUAAUAACCAUGUAUAAGUGUUAUGUUAGAGCACACCCAAACCGGGGGCUGAAUUAAGGGAUAUAAUAAAUGUAGUUCACUCUGCAACAUUAAUUUCUAAUUAUAUGUUCCUUCUAUUUAUCUAGGAAAGUUACUGUAAGAUGUAGACAGCUUCGUGUCAAGCAAAGACCCAAAAGAAUUGCCAUUUCUUGUAAUGGUUGUCUGGCGACCGUUGAAUGCAAUUUCUCAAAUCUUUAUUGUCGCUGACUUGCUGGUACUUUUUCGAGUUAAGGUUGUAAUUGUGGAACUGAUGGCAUGAACUCACAUUCUCUUUUCGAGAGGAGGUUAAUUAAUGAAAUUAGGAAUGCCGACAUAUACUAAGUAAUAUGAACUGAAUAAAAUCUGAACUCAGUAGGAGAGGGCAAUUGCUCUUGUAUUGUAUAUA